AAGAGGUUUGCUCCUGCUCUUCUACCUAGUCUUCUGUGGGUUCCUAGCUGCACUCUUCUUGUUCACAAUGUGGACUAUGCUUCAGGUGCUGAAAGAUAGGGUUCCAAAACAGCAGCUUCCUAGUUCAGGACUUAAAAUUUCUCCAGAGUCAGUGAUGGCAUUAAAAUAUGUAUUCAGUAUGUCUGAUUCAGCUUCCUAGAAUAGGUACUUUGUAGAUUUUAAUAAUUUUCUAAAGCUGUAUUAGAUGAAGAGAAGAAUCUCACAAUCCAUCCUGAUGAAGUACUUUUUGAAAGAAGGGACUAGUUUAUAACGCGUGUAAAUUUCCUGCUACCUUACUUUAAGCAUGCAGUGGUAUGGAGGAUCCUGAUAUUUGUGGUUUCAAAGGAAACCAUUUUAUUCUUGUAAAAAUUAGCAGAGUAAUUAGAUUAAAUCCUCAAGUGGAACCAAGGUUAAUGGGUUUAAAAAAACACAAGAUAAGUCUGAUAACCUCUCACCAUGGAUUUAUAGACUGAAAAUAUUUAGCACAUUAUGGAAAAAAAUAUGCAUGUGGAGUA
rnacentral:lncRNA from 1 species